ACACUUACCUGGUUCCGGAGUCUCGUUGAUGACCCAAGACGAGCCCCCAGGGUGCGGCGUGGGCAUUGCGCUGCGGUCGCGUUAACCCCUGCCACUACUCCAAAUGGGACUAGAUGGAGCAAGCAAUUUGC
rnacentral:snRNA from 1 species